rnacentral:rRNA from 1 species
GACGAACGCUGGCGGCGUGCCUAACACAUGCAAGUCGAACGGAACUGUUUUGAAAGAUUUCUUCGGAAUGAAUUUGAUUUAGUUUAGUGGCGGACGGGUGAGUAACGCGUGAGUAACCUGCCUUCAAGAGGGGGAUAACAUUCUGAAAAGAAUGCUAAUACCGCAUGACAUAUCGGAACCACAUGGUUUUGAUAUCAAAGAUUUUAUCGCUUGAAGAUGGACUCGCGUCCGAUUAGUUAGUUGGUGAGGUAACGGCUCACCAAGACCGCGAUCGGUAGCCGGACUGAGAGGUUGAACGGCCACAUUGGGACUGAGACACGGCCCAGACUCCUACGGGAGGCAGCAGUGGGGGAUAUUGCGCAAUGGGGGCAACCCUGACGCAGCAACGCCGCGUGAAGGAUGAAGGUUUUCGGAUUGUAAACUUCUUUUAUUAAGGACGAAAAAUGACGGUACUUAAUGAAUAAGCUCCGGC